CCUACGGGUGGCAGCAGGGAGGAAUAUUGGUCAAUGGGCGCAAGCCUGAACCAGCCAAGUAGCGUGAAGGAUGACUGCCCUAUGGGUUGUAAACUUCGUUUAUAGGGGAAUAAAGUGCAGUAUGUAGACGGCUUUGCAUGUACCUUAUGAAUAAGGAUAGGCUAACUCCGUGCCAGCAGCCGCGGUAAUACGGAGGAUCCGAGCGUUAUCCGGAGUUAUUGGGUUGAAAGGGAGCGUAGGCGGGUUGUUAAGUCCGUUGUGAAAGUUUGCGGCUCAACCGUAAAAUUGCCGUUGAUACUGGCAUCCUUGCUUACAGUCGCGGUCGGCGGCAUUCCUGGUGUCGCCGUUCCAUUCUUCGCUCUCAC
rnacentral:rRNA from 1 species